rnacentral:rRNA from 1 species
GCUUACGGCCAUACCACCCUGAGAACGCCCGAUCUCGUCUGAUCUCGGAAGCUAAGCAAGGUCGGGCCUGGUAAGUACUUGGAUGGGAGGCUGCCUGGGAAUACCAGGUGCUGUAAGCU